GGCAGUUGAAUAAAGAGGAUAUUUUUCAAAUAAUUUCUUUGGAAAAAAAAUGCAGAAUUUGAGCUUUAUCUUAUAUGUGACUCAAGAAUGUAGGUCUUUUACUUCUUAUUCAAGAUGAAAUCCUGUUACAUGGCUGCCUUUUGAAGGAUUUAAUUGCUCCAAGGAUUCACGCUUACACAGUAUUCUUCACCUCUUAGAAAUCACCAGGAUGGAAGCCUACCAAGAGCUUUCCUGAAAAUACCGAGGAAGAUGUCAUUAGCAGGUGAUGCUGCCCAGCUGUCUCAUGAGAAUACAUGGUCCAGUCACUGGAAUUCAGUCCAUCUGUAGCUCAGCAAAGGGCUCACCAUUCCAGACCACAUUCAUUUUGCCUAAAUCUGGCCAAAGAAGGACUGUGCAUGAUUAGUAUAUACAAUAGCAUUUGGUCCUGGGCCAAGCUCUCCUCCACCCAAUACCAGCACUGCUCAAUGUUGCGGUUUUUGUUAACCCACUUCUUCCAUUCUACUCUCAGCUUUACAAAACAGAUGGAAGGCACUGGGUGCUGGCUUGGCUUCUUCUGACAAGGCUGUGCCAAAGAAGAGUUUGAAAUUUUGGGACAAAAUUGCUUUCUCUCAUAUCAGACUGAACAAAGCAGCUAUGUCCAGAGAUAUGCUUCCCUAUGAAAAGGAAAAUUAAUCUUCACGUUUUUAUUUAUGGAGGACAAGUUGGUACUUACAUGGUAGGGCGAGUCCUGCCGUUUCACUGCGAAUGCUCUGUAUAGAAAGAAUAUGUGCAUUAAAUUGCCUCCGUGACCAUGUAUGACUCCUACUCUACAAAUAAAUGGGAAUAGAUAGCUCCCUUCCCUCAGGAACUUCUGUCUGCAGAAAACUGUGGAUCUCUGGGAUAUGCAGAUGAAACAUCUCUUUCUCUCCACCAAGAUAUGAAAGCAGAGAGCUCCUUCCCCUUCUGAGCUUCAGGCCAAGGGGCUCCGACACACACCGAGCAAAUGGGAAGAUGUGUGAUUAGGUAACUUCCAAACUUCAGAAACAUUUCCAUUUCAAAUUCUGACUUCCUGCCAUGCACAUACUCUUCUGUAACCAG
ensembl:lncRNA